CUCAGAGCAGGGCACUCUCAAGAAUGGCAUAGGAAAUGAGAUUUCGCCCUGCGUGUCACCUAGUGAGUUAACCUGUCAUAGCCUCUCAGAUGCUGAAGGAAACAAGAGGCUCCAGAUUCAGACAUAAGGGAUAGUUUAGGACUCACAGCAGCAGCCAGAGUGGCUGCAUUUUUCAUGUGCUCCCAGGCUUAUGUUCUCACAGACCCUCACAAAGAGGACUAGAAAUGACCAGGGUGCACAUCGGGGUGUGUCCAGGAGAGGCAUCUGCGGUUUGGUUUCCAACAGGUUGAGUGUGUCUGCCUUCCGUUCCAGAGGGACAUUAUGUCUACCUCCCAAGCCCAUCUGUGACAGACUUGAAAAUAUAAUCCAGAACAAAGAGACUCCACACGUCACUCACAAGCCACGCUGAUAUGAGGCAGCUCUGUCUUAGUCUGUUCGAGUUGCCAAAACCAAGUGCCAUAGACUGGGGGCCUCAACAGCAGAUCAAGGUGCCAAGCGAUGAACUCAGCAAGGGCUUCCUUCCUGGCUUGCCUAUGGCCACCUUCUCACAUGGAGGAGAAGACAAGGGAGAGACAGACAGACAGACCUCUUAUAAACCACCAGUACUCUCAGAUUAGGGCCUCACCCUUAUGAUGUCACCUCCUGACGGCCGUACUUCUAAACCCCCAAACUCUGGCACAUUGAGGGUGAGCGCUGCAAGAGAUGAAUUCCGAGGGACACAGCCUAAUCCACAGCUGGUCCCAUGGGGACUUGGGAUCCACCAGGGACCACCCAAGGUGACCAAGAGCGCCUCUCACAGGCUCGCUGCCAUGGCCAAGGGUCUCACCGUGUUGCCCAGGCUGGCCUCCUGCCUCGUUCUCCUGAGUAGCUGGGAUUCCAGGCACACUACCAAGCAGGUGAUCGUUUUCUUAACGGCAUCCGGGCUUUAUGUCUCCCCUUGCCCAAAACCUUUAUGAUGGUGAGGUAUUCACUCUCUCAGUACACGCAGGCCUUGCU
rnacentral:lncRNA from 1 species